CCGGCGACCGGCGCACGGGUGAGUAACACGUAUGCAACCUGGCCGUGACAGAUGGAUAACCGGGAGAAAUCCCGCCUAAUACAACAUAAUGCCGGGAGGGGACAUCCCCUGCCGGCCAAAGGGGGCGACCCCGGUCACGGAUGGGCAUGCGGCGCAUUAGGCAGUUGGUGGGGCAACGGCCCACCAAGCCGACGAUGCGUAGGGGUUCUGAGAGGAAGGUCCCCCACAUUGGAACUGAGACACGGUCCAAACUCCUACGGGAGGCAGCAG
rnacentral:rRNA from 1 species